CCAACUAAAAAAACUCUGACCCGCCCCAAAAAGCCUCCUCCUAAACCAGCAAUCACCCCUAAAUCUUCUCAUCCCUCAACGUUAAAAUUCAACAAAAACUAAGCACCCAUCACCUCAAUCACGAUAAAUCCGCCUGAUUUUGGGGCUUUUGUAGAGCCAACAGCUACAAUAGCUUUUUUAAAUUUUGAAAUUGAGAUUCUUGAAGAAGCCGUUGCAUCCCUUUUGCCUAUAAAAAGGGAGUUUUCUUCACAAUGAAGGCACCAAGAAAAAAAAGGAUUAUCAAAUUAGCAUUUAAAAUAUCGGUAUACUGUUACUCUCGCCCUCUUUCCAAAUUCAGUCGGAAGUUCGAGUUUGAGUUCGAGUUAUAGUUUCCGACGAAAAAGCGUUAGUUCGCUGUCCCCCACAAGAGCGCGUUUGGAGUCUCACGGCUUGACUCCAUCACUGUCCAAAUCAGAGAAGCGACAUAACAGAUGCAUUGCUUAUCUUCGUCUAGCAGUCUAGUUCCUCAUUCCCUUUUUCUUCAAGAUUUAGUUUUCUUCUGUAGACAAUCAUUAUUAUUUUUGUUCUACAUCUCUUUUACAUUAUUAUUUGUGUUUUGUAUGUUCUUGUUUGAAUUAAUGUGAAUCUUUAAUGUGCUAGCAAAUUUAUUUGUUUCCUCUUUGCCGCU